AAUAUUGGUCAAUGGAGGCAACUCUGAACCAGCCAUGCCGCGUGCAGGAUGACGGUCCUAUGGAUUGUAAACUGCUUUUGUACAGGAAGAAAAAGAGUUACGUGUAGCUUAUUGCCGGUACUGUAAGAAUAAGGACCGGCUAACUCCGUGCCAGCAGCCGCGGUAAUACGGAGGAUCCAAGCGUUAUCCGGAAUCAUUGGGUUUAAAGGGUCCGUAGGCGGCCUUAUAAGUCAGCGGUGAAAGUUUUUGGCUUAACCAAAAAAUUGCCGUUGAUACUGUAGGGCUUGAAUUUUUGUGAAGUAACUAGAAUAUGUAGUGUAGCGGUGAAAUGCUUAGAUAUUACAUGGAAUACCAGUGGCGAAGGCGACUUUCUGGACUUAUACUGACGCUGAGGCACGAAAGCGUGGGGAGCAAACA
rnacentral:rRNA from 1 species